AAAUAGUUCCGGUAGGCCAGGCUCCUACAGGGAUAUGGACUGCUGCCGCAACAGGAUGGAGACAUCCCGCGUAGGUCUGAACAGGCUGCGUCAAACAAGAAGGCGCCGCAUAAUGCAGUUUCACCGCCCUGUAGAGUUAAAGCUCGUACGGUGGCAGUGGGA
rnacentral:sRNA from 2 species